AACACACUGCCAGCUGUUCUGGCCCAGUGUGCACCUCCCAUUGCCGUUGCACAAGUCAGGGCAGCCAUCUGGGGGAAGAAACGAGACAGACUUCAACAAAAGCCUGUGGACAACAACAAAGGAGCUCUUGCUUCAUUCUGCACUCCCAACCUGAGUAAGCUUGCCAGUGGAGAUGGUGCUGCACCAUGUUCAUCCAAAUGGGAACACAACUGGAUGACGCUGGGAACGCAGACUGUGGAACACUAGAGUGCAAACAAUGAUGGCACAGCACAAAGUGAUAACAAGGCAAGCAAACAAACUCCAGUGCCUUCUGAAGAAAUGCACAGAGAGAAACAGUGAGAACAACAAAACCACCAAAUGGUGAGCUGGGAAGGACAAGAGAGCUGCUACAACAGACCAGGCCUGUUACAGGAAUACUGCAAAUAUGGAGAAGUGUAUCUGCCUGCGAAAAACUAUGACUAUCAUGUAAUUAAAGCAGCCAUUAAAUCU